AGAAUCUUUCGCAAUGGACGAAAGUCUGACGAAGCGACGCCGUGUGAACGAAGAAGGCCUUCGGGUUGUAAAGUUCUUUCGCCAGGGAACAAGAGAGAGAAGUGAAUAACUUCUCGCUUUGAGGGUACCUAGUAAAGAAGCACCGGCUAACUCCGUGCCAGCAGCUACGGUAAUACGGAGGGUGCAAGCAUUAAUCGGAAUUAUUGGGCGUAAAGGGCGCGUAGGCUGAACUGUAAGUCAGAUGUGAAAUACCAAAGCUUAACUUUGGUGCUGCAUUUGAAACUACAGAUCUAGAGGAUAGACGGAGAAAACGGAAUUCCACAUGUAGCGGUGAAAUGCGUGGAUAUGUGGAAGAACACCUGUGGCGAAAGCGGUUUUCUAGUUUAUUCCUGACGCUGAGGCGCGAGAGCAAGGGGAGCGAAC
rnacentral:rRNA from 1 species